CUUUAUCUACAACAGCUCUAAUUCAGAGGUCUUUCUUCAGCACUUCCUGAGAGACAGCUGUUGCUUUGGGUAUGAGAGGGACUGCAGUAACUGAGUUACAAAGUAAUCAGAGACAGAAUUUGAUCCAUUUUCCAACCCAUUCCAUUUUAACUGUGUCAUCAUGACACAGAAUUCCUCUCUUGCCUGCCUCCUCCUGGGACACUGCAACCUCUCCCUUGGCUGUAGUGAUUACCCACAUGUCAGGCCUGCAAGUACUGCUCAGCUCUCUUGUGAAUAUGAAGAAUCCAAUAAUAUCAGCAGAAAAUGCUAGCACCCACUGCCAGUCAAAUCCUGCAGUGAGACUGCCCAAAGAAUUCCAAACUCAGAUCAAAGAGGCAAGAAACACCAACGGUGCCUACUCUGCUCCUACAGACAUACUUAGAGCCUCCAGGCAAUGCUGCGCUCUGCUUAGAUGAGUCCCCAUGCAGGGACAGGCCUCUUCUGGUACAGACCUGUGACAGGUGUGCAACUUCACACCUCCUGCAAGAGCAACAAAAUGAAGAUCUGAAUAAAU